GUUUUCAAGAAUCAUGUUCCCCAGUUGCUAAGGGAUAAUCAAACCAAACAUCUCCUGAAUACUUUUGUUCAAAAUUUGUUUGCUGAUCUGCUAUUCUUCUGGUGCUACUGUGAUGUUGCUGCUGUUGCUGAGAUGCUGUGGUGAUGCUGCUGUGAUGGUGUUUGUUACGAUGAGGUGCUGCUGUGUUGUUGUUGGAUGUUUGCUGGUGUUGUUGAUGUUUGGAAGGGUGCUGGACUUUUUGUCCAAUUUGUAAUAGAUCAGGUUUUCAUUAAUGGGGGUUGUCAUUAGGUGUAAGUUCGGGCAACUGCUGGUGUUUUGGCUGGAAGGGUAUGGAGGGGGUAUUUUGUGUGAUUUCAUAUCCAUGUUAUUAGUUUGUUAUAGUGGUGCCUGAGGGAUGCCUCUUGUAAACCUGUAAAUCUUUUAAAAAAUUAUAAAUGAGUUUCAAUUAUUUU